AUGACGCCCUUCCCCCUCGAAAGGAGGCAUGGACGAGACUCUAGGAAGCUGUGACUGCUUGGAUUCACUCCCCCAGCCUUAGCCUGAAGAAGCCGUCAAAUCAUUCUCCUUCCCCCAUCACUUCCUCUGACCUCGGAAGCCAAAAGGGGAGCCGCUGUGAGGAUCAGCUAUGCAAAGCUCCCUUGUAUGCAAUCUGCAGUCAUGUCGGAUAUCUACGAUCUACUUUUGGGAGUUAGGCUACUGUGGUCAGAUUGAUACUGCUCUGAAAGCAUUAUGAAGAGAGAAAGACAGAAUGCUAAUAUCCAUUUUCCACAGGAAGUCACCGUUUCGUUUAUUAGUCGUGUGCAUCAUCUCAGCUGUGUUCAGCUACAAGGACAAGCACUUCAGUUUCUUGUUGGUAAGACAUUUGGAGUAAGUCCACUUAGAAGUGUAGAAAGAACACACCUUUUCAUCUGUAGAGUGACGGAUAUCGUUCACUCACUCUCUAUCAGGUGUUCCUUGUAAUUGCUCUGAUGUCUGGAUCAAACAUUGUCUCUCCUUGGCACUUGUGUGCCUUAGAUUGCAUUCAUAGUGCCUGUGAAGGGAGUGUUCAUGAUUUUAAUAUAGCAGGUUUUGCUUCUAAAGAGACAAUUUCACUAUCAUUCUAAGCGAAUUAUCUAGGAAACUAAUUUGAGAACAACUCCGUCUUCCUGUCCUGUGACAAGCGUUUCAGCUCAUUUCUAGGCAGCAAUCUAGGGAGACAUUAAUCAGGAUGAUGAUAAUGGUAUGGAUAAUCCUGAGCCCCUUAAGAAUAGGAAUCUCCUGCAAGUGACCAAAAUUUAUAGCUGUGGCUGGCAUCGUAGUAUAGAGGCACACAUAUGGCUUAUGUCAGUGAGACACAACAUUGUUUUACAAAUCACAUUGAUUUGUUAUGUGGCACUAAAAAGUCAUAGUCAGAAUCAAGUCCUAUAAAUUGCAGAAUGGAGUCUUCAAACUUCUUAUCUAUGUUGUAGCUCCGUCAAAAAGAGUCCAAGAACCAAGUAUGCUCUGUACACAAUGCUACUAGUCAAAGAAUAAAAACUGGGAUCAUUCAAUUUCCUCUUCUUCUGGCAAGUUGCCGGAUGGACAUUUUCUUCUCUGUUAGUCUUGGCAAAGAAGAAAUAGAGAGGAAAAUUUAUUGCUCA
rnacentral:sRNA from 1 species